UGUUUUUGAUUGUGAUCAACAAGAAAAAGUGUCUAGACUACCAGAAAAGUUUAAAUAAAAUAUAAAUUAAUACAAAUAAUAAAUUCAAUAUUUAAAAAUUAUAAAUACAUACUAAUUUUCUUCUUGAAGUAUUUCUUUCUCUAUUUACAGCUGAAUUUCGGGAAUUAAACUGGAAUACCUACCUAUAUCAUAUCCCUAUAAUAUAACCAUGUACCUACAUAUAACAUGAUAUGUUCUAUUUGUGCAAAGUUCCCGCGUAUAAAAAAUAGACCACGACGAAAAACAUCCAUGUUUAAUUAAAAAGUUGUUUAAAAACAUGAGGUGAGACGAUCCAUAAUUUAGAAUCAAUACUCUAAUUGAAUUCAAUCAAUUCAAAAUUCAAUUGAAAUGUGAAUUAAUUCGGCAAGAGUUGCAGCUUCUACUUUGUAUGUACGAGUAUGUACUCGACGCAAGAGUCCCUCCCAAACGAUGUUUGGAAACUGCUCAUCACAAAGAAGGGAACCCAAUAUUUCAAGCUAGCUUGUAUGUGCAUCAUAAAAAUUCCAUUAAAAACACUAAUAUGUUAUAUUUAUUAUAUUUAAAAUCACAUAACAAAUAAAAACUAAAAAUUAUGAAAGUCAACAGAA